UGACAAUACAGCUGAGUGCAGGUGUCCUGCAGGAGAAGACUGGUGGUACAUGGGAAGACGGUGUGAGAAGAGAGGGUCCACCCAAGACACCAUUGUCAUUGCUGUUUCUUCCACUGUGGCCGUGUUCGCCGUGAUGCUGGUCAUCACUCUCGUCAGUGUCUACUGCACCCGGAGGAAGUACCGCAAGAAGAUGAGUUCAAAUAGCACAGCCUCGAACCCAGAAAACCAAUAUGCUUUUUGAAUAUUAACUCAACCAGACAGCCAGCAAGUGAGAUGAAAAGGAUUCUUCAUCAUGGAAGAAUUUUUCACCGAAGCCGUAUGACCUUCACAGUAUUCCAAACUGACCAACCCUGUAAAUAUCUGAAUGGAUAAUAAAUCACUAUUUUCAGGAAA